GGGGAUGCUAGGCAUCGACGGUUAGCCUACCCAUUGUGUGCAGUGUCGAAAAUGGUAACCAAUUCGCUAAAAGGUUCCAUCCGUAUUUGCAAACAAAGCAAUACCAAGUCCAUACGCUAACGCGUUUGGAUUCGCUCCCGCUCUAGCGUAACCAUUCGUCUAGAUCCGGAGUGAUGCGACUGAGAUAAACGCCUCAUACGUUUCAGUUGUAGAAUAGCCACGAGGCUGUGGAUCUAGUUGCCGUUGUCUUCUAGGUUCAAGAUUGUAACAACUCGAAUUAGUAUUGUUUUGUCGCUUCUAUAGAUACUAAUUUUAAAAAGACUUCUGUACUGAGAUGGAGUUCGCGGAGUUUAGAUUUUUUUAAACAGAAGGCGUAGUAAAUCUACGAUGACUGUAUAAAAAAUCGUAACGACAAAGAAAUUCCCUCAGUACAGAAGUCUUACAAAGGAGAGACUACGCACUGUAGACUCACAAUGUGGUACCUGAUUCGGACUGGAGUUCGAUUCUCCACAUCUCCACCA
rfam:Candidatus Kaiserbacteria bacterium RIFCSPLOWO2_12_FTLL_45_26 rifcsplowo2_12_scaffold_0, whole genome shotgun sequence.